GAUGAUUGCAAUCUUUUCGAACUGGGUGCCUGAGACAACCGCUCCCCCGAAAUUCGUGUAGACGGCACGGUAAAAAUCCCGCCUUUAACCCUUCUCUCGGACCGUCUUUAAAUACUGGCGUCCGUGCUGCUUCUCCUCCACGAGCUCAGUAACUUCCUCCCCGGCGAAUCACUUUCCUUCUCCCAGCACCCUUUUGGCUUCCAAUCAUAUUCUCCGGCGAUCCUCCCUUUGUCUGCAUUCC
rnacentral:lncRNA from 1 species